UACGGGGGGGGCAAGCGUUGUUCGGAAUUACUGGGCGUAAAGGGCUCGUAGGCGGCCAACUAAGUCCGACGUGAAAUCCCAAAGCUUAACUUUGGAACUGCGUCGGAUACUGGAUGGCUUGAGUUCGGGAGAGGGAUGCAGAAUUCCAGGUGUAGCGGUGAAAUGCGUAGAUAUCUGGAGGAAUACCGGUGGCGAAGGCGGCAUCCUGGACCGACAUUGACGCUGAGGAGCGAAAGCGAGGGGAGCAAACGGG
rnacentral:rRNA from 1 species